GAAUAUCGUGGUCCCUCGUCGUUAGAGGUUGAUCCGGUUCCCUGCCAAGAUCCUUAAGAAGACAACUUGUGCUUCACAUGACGUCAAAUUUAGCUGAAGAGAGCUUCAGGGGAGGAGAAAGGAAUGAGAUGGAACAGUCCUAUAAGUCCGUAAAGUCUGGGAGACUAAAGAAAUUAACCUCGCGGGAAACAACAGAUCGUUAACGAGAGGAACCGUGGAGCCGUGUAAUUUAUUGGAGGAUAAAGGAAUCUGCAAAAAUGCCACAAAAACAUCACACUGGGACAAGUGUGUGGAAGAAAACAUUUGUAGAAGAGGAGUAAAAGAAUUAACAAUGUUUGCUUAAGGUCCCAAAGGGGCUUUCUGCCCAAUUCAUUGCUUGUGAAGUUGUCUUAAAUUAUGUUUUAUGGGAGAACGGCCGGUAAUUUCUCCAAGAAGGAACUGCAGAUGUUGGAAAAUCGAAGGUACACAAAAUUGCUGGGGAAACUCAGCGGGUG